GGAAAUUAUAAGACAACACGAACUCAAAGGGAAAACCGUAAGAUGCUUUAUGCUCUACUAGGAAGAGCUAGAGGAAACUAGGCUCUACCACAUCAAAAGACCCUUUUUAUUGUCUGCCAGGCUGCUUCUGAAUUUAGCAGAUAUGUGAAGAAGGAAACUGACCACUUGCUUGAAGUUCUCCUACCUCUGCGACAACUAAAAGCUCUACUGAUUUCAAACUCAUCCAGCGUCUAAUUCUGGCAUCUCGGUAUCCAGCU